rnacentral:lncRNA from 1 species
AGCAAUUCUCCUGCCUCAGCCUCUCGAGUAGCUGGAAUUACAGGCGCCUGCCACCACACCCAGCUAAUUUUUUGUAUUUUUAGUAGAGAUGGGCUUUCAUCAUGUUGGCCAGGCUGGUCUUGAACACCUGACCUCAGUUGAUCCACCCUCCUCGGCCUCCCAAAGUGCUGGGAUUACAGGCAUGAGGCACUGCACCCGGCCA